GAUGAAGAACGUAGCGAAAUGCGAUAAGUAAUGUGAAUUGCAGAAUUCAGUGAAUCAUCGAAUCUUUGAACGCACAUUGCACCUCCCGGUAUUCCGGGAGGUAUGCCUGUUCGAGCGUCAUUUGUACCCUCAAGCUCUGCUUGGUGUUGGGUGUUUGUUCCGCCUCUGUGUGUGAACUCGCCUCAAAACAAUUGGCAGCCGGCGUACUUGUUUCGGAGCGCAGCACAUUUUGCGAUCCAGAUCAACGUACAGCGGCAUCCAAGAAGCCUUAUUUAACGCUCUUGACCUCGGAUCAGGUAGGGAUACCCGCUGAACUUAAGCAUAUCAAUAAGCGGAGGA
rnacentral:misc_RNA from 1 species